rnacentral:rRNA from 1 species
GACGAGCGCUGGCGGCGUGCUUAACACAUGCAAGUCGAACGGAAAGGCCCUGCUUUUGUGGGGUGCUCGAGUGGCGAACGGGUGAGUAACACGUGAGUAACCUGCCCUUGACUUUGGGAUAACUUCAGGAAACUGGGGCUAAUACCGGAUAGGAGCUCCUGCUGCAUGGUGGGGGUUGGAAAGUUUCGGCGGUUGGGGAUGGACUCGCGGCUUAUCAGCUUGUUGGUGGGGUAGUGGCUUACCAAGGCUUUGACGGGUAGCCGGCCUGAGAGGGUGACCGGCCUCAUUGGGACUGAGAUACGGCCCAGACUCCUACGGGAGGCAGCGGUGGGGAAUAUUGCACAAUGGGCGGAAGCCUGAUGCAGCAACGCCGCGUGCGGGAUGACGGCCUUCGGGUUGUAAACCGCUUUCGCCUGUGACGAAGCGUGAGUGACGGUAAUGGGUAAAGAAGCACCGGCUAACUACGUG